UUUUCUCAGCCUCUCUUGGAUUUUUUAUUUUCUGGGAUGAAGCUGGAUGUGGGGGUUGCAGGCUUUCUUUUUUGUCUGCUCCUCUUAAAUGCAUUAGUGUUGAAUAUUACUGAAUGUUCCCCAGUGUGAUAAUUAUCUGCACUGUUGGAGCAUCUUUAUAUGUUCAUGCUUACAACUGUCCUUUGAAUAGGACAAUAUACUUUUUGU
rnacentral:misc_RNA from 1 species